rnacentral:rRNA from 1 species
GAUGAACGCUGACAGAAUGCUUAACACAUGCAAGUCGAGGGACCGGCGCACGGGUGAGUAACACGUAUCCAACCUGCCCUUUACUCGGGGAUAGCCUUUCGAAAGAAAGAUUAAUACCCGAUAUAAAGGAUGGGGAGGCGUUCCAUUAGGUUGUUGGUGAGGUAACGGCUCACCAAGCCUUCGAUGGAUAGGGGUUCUGAGAGGAAGGUCCCCACGAUUGUGACUGAGUCACGGUCCAAACUCGUACGGGAGGCAGCAGUGAGGAAGAUUGGUCAAUGGACGGUAGCCUGAACCAGCCAAGUAGCGUGAAUGAGGGAGGCUUAUUGGUCGUAAACUUCUUUUAUAUAAGAAUAUGUAUUAUAUGAAUAAGGAUCGGCUAACUCCGUGCCAGCAGCCGCGGUAAUAC